UACGGAGGGGGCUAGCGUUGUUCGGAAUUAUUGGGCGUAAAGCGCGCGUAGGCGGUUAUCUAAGUCGGAUGUGAAAGCCCUCGGCUUAACUGAGGAAGUGCACCCGAAACUGGAUAGCUAGAGUACGAAAGAGGGUCGCGGAAUUCCCGGUGUAGAGGUGAAAUUCGUAGAUAUCGGGAGGAACACCGGUGGCGAAGGCGGCGACCUGGGUCGAGACUGACGCUGAGGCGCGAAAGCGUGGGGAGCAAACAGG
rnacentral:rRNA from 1 species